UUCGAAUCAAGGUCCCUUUUGACUGCUUGGCACUCGCGAACACCGCGAUCUUAUCAGAUAAAUCGCGGAGUUAGCCGGUGGCAACCAGGCGAAUGUUUGAGACUCACUUUUUGAA
rnacentral:pre_miRNA from 1 species